UGCUCACUACAGCACCACCACUAUACUAAAAUUGGAAUGAUACAGUGAAGAUUAGCAUGGCUCAUGCAAAAGGAUGAGACACAAAUUGUCAAGCAUUUUAUGUUUUU